GACGAACGCUGGCGGCGUGCUUAACACAUGCAAGUCGAACGGAGCGCUUUUGAUAGAGACUUCGGUCAAUGGAUAAAGUUGCUUAGUGGCGGCUGGUGAGUAACGCGUGAGGAACCUGCCUUUCAGAGGGGGACAACAGUUGGAAACGACUGCUAAUACCGCAUGAUAUGUAACUGGGGCAUCCCGGAUACAUCAAAGAUUUAUCGCUGAAAGAUGGCCUCGCGUCUGAUUAGAUAGUUGGUGGGGUAACGGCCUACCAAGUCGACGAUCAGUAGCCGGACUGAGAGGUUGACCGGCCACAUUGGGACUGAGAUACGGCCCAGACUCCUACGGGAGGCAGCAGUGGGGAAUAUUGGGCAAUGGACGCAAGUCUGACCCAGCAACGCCGCGUGAAGGAAGAAGGCUUUCGGG
rnacentral:rRNA from 1 species